GAUGAACGCUGGCGGCGUGCCUAAUACAUGCAAGUCGAGCGAACAGACGAGGAGCUUGCUCCUCUGACGUUAGCGGCGGACGGGUGAGUAACACGUGGAUAACCUACCUAUAAGACUGGGAUAACUUCGGGAAACCGGAGCUAAUACCGGAUAAUAUAUUGAACCGCAUGGUUCAAUAGUGAAAGACGGUUUUGCUGUCACUUAUAGAUGGAUCCGCGCCGCAUUAGCUAGUUGGUAAGGUAACGGCUUACCAAGGCAACGAUGCGUAGCCGACCUGAGAGGGUGAUCGGCCACAAUGGAACUGAGACACGGUCCAGACUCCUACGGGAGGCAGCAGUAGGGAAUCUUCCGCAAUGGGCGAAAGCCUGACGGAGCAACGCCGCGUGAAUGAUGAAGGUCUUCGGAUCGUAAAACUCUGUUAUUAGGGAAGAACAAAUGUGUAAGUAACUAUGCACGUCUUGACGGUACCUAAUCAGAAAGCCACGGCUAACUACGUG
rnacentral:rRNA from 1 species